GCCAAAGUAGCAUAACCUGGCAAUGCGCCACACUCGUAAUGUGGAUACUGCGGGUUCAAAUCCCGUCUUUGGCU
rnacentral:tRNA from 1 species